rnacentral:misc_RNA from 1 species
CAUUUCCACGCCAACCAUCGUGCGCCGCGGUCUGAACGCUCCUGCCACAGAAAAAGAAAAUAAAAGCAAGGAAAAUUCUAAUCGAAUACCAAAUAUCGUGCUUGUGUGCUCUUUCCGCAAUUGAUUUUUUUUAAGUAGUGCAUGACAAUAACCGUUGAGUUGACUCCAACCGAAGUAACCAUAACUGGAAGCUGACAACAGCCAUUGGCCGGAAUCUCAUCUCACACCGAGCGAAAUACGGCGACGCCAGCGUUUAUUUAUUAAAAACGAUUACAUUACAACAAACACCAAAGUCCUGGACAACCGAAGAGAGUGUGGGAGAAAAUCGAAGCAGAGAGCAAGGAGGAGCGCCGUGAGAGCGCGCGCGCAAGGAUUUGAGAUUGCAAAGAGAACUUAGCAAUUAGUUCGCUUUGUUUGUCCAGCCAAACAACAACAACAACCAACCAGCUCCCCAAAACCAACUACACACAUACUCGCUCCCUAAACUAAAACAAGGUAAAAAAUAUUUUUUGUUUGAACAAAAUUCGCAACAAGAACUCUAGUCAGAAGAUGGAAAACAAGAAUAUUAUUAUGAUGAGGCAGCCGCAUAUAAGGAGGAAUAGUAGAUCAAAACCAAAAGAACUAUGGCAAUUUCUAGCUAAUAAAAUGAUUGAAUGAUUGAUAGAAGCCGCCUGCUCUUCCCUUUCCAAAGAUUUACCCACUUAAAACCUCUAAGCAAAAGAUAAGCGAGGCGAACGGAAAGCGUCAAAGGAGAUUUCCAGAUGAAAAUGCAAUACAUUAUACACAAUCAACUAGUUUAUUUAUAUAACAUACCCACAUAAGAACACACUGUGGGACAGGAGAACAGAAUAAAAUCUUGUGAAAGCUAGGAAUGUACUUGAUUUUGUUUAGUUCGUAUUUCUGUCAUCACAUAUUUUUACACGCAACACAGACACAAUUCUUAAUUUAAUUAAUUUAAUGUAUACUUAUUUUUUUUGUCACCGAUGAUCAAAUUAAUUGUAUUAAUUAUAAUUAUUGUGCAAUAGUUUUAAAAUGCAACUGAAGGCAAAACACAACAACAAAUUUUCAAGUAUCUCAAAUUAUAAUUUCAUUAGGCGAGGAAAACGAGAAAUGAAAUAUUUGAUCUUAUGAAACAUAAUUGUAUGAUUACUCUAUACACACCGCAAAACAAGAAAGAAAUGCAAGCCCAGCAACAAGAACAAAAUUUAAAAAUAUAUAUACAACAAUUAUUUUUUAAGCGAAAUUGUAUAUGUAUCACAUGCAUAUACAUAUUAAUAUCUCAUAUUUUUUCUUUACCAAUUUACCUAUUAAGUAAGCAAAGAGCCAAGAAAACAAACGAAAACGAAACAAAAAAGAUUAUUUAUUGUAUUUUAUAAUUACGUAAUUUUAUUUAAUUCAAUUUGAAUUAUAUAUUCCCUUGAUUUGAACAAAGCUACAAGAAACAAGAAGAUAAUGAUAUGAUAAAGAAUUAGUCUAAUUAUACACACAACACAAGAGCAGAGACCCAAAAAGAUAGAUAGAGAGAGAGAUAGAGAGAGAGAGAGAUAGAACGAGCUACAGAAGUCUAUAUAAAAUCUAUAACUUCCAAACUCUCUCUCCUCCCAUUCUCCCCUUUUCUCUUAAUAUGUCUCUUUUUACUCUAAUGUGCGGUUUAUAUAUUUAAUUUUGUACGUUGUAUUUUAUUUCGUUCUUCAUUUCAAUUUUGUUUUACCAGAAACCUUUUUGUGUUUCAGCUUCAGUUUAAAAUUAUGAUUUUAUGCUAAACCUACUUGAAUUGUCACAGCAACAAUAACACAACACAGCUAUUUAGUUGAUAUUCUAGCUAUAUACGAUCUGUGCGUAUGUUACUGCAAACUCCUGUGAAUUCUAUCGAAUGAAUAUUUAUAUUUUGAUUAUUAUUAUUUAGUAUGGCCUAUUUUUUUUCGGUUUGUGUAUUUUGCUUUUUGUCUAAUUUCGCAACGAACAUGUUUACUCUUAUGAUUUUAUUUGAUUUCCGCACCAAACAAGUAAAAAAAACCCAAGAAAAAUUUUCUUCAAUAAAAAGAAAUCUUGAUGAAAAUUUUAGCAUCAUUUUUAUUUGUUAUUUUUUGGUUUUGUUUGUUUUUAAAACUGUACGAUUUUCGAUUAACAACCACUUCUUUCCCGAAUCCUAUACUUGUUUCCCUCUCUGUCUAUCUUUCUCUCUCGCUCUCUCUCUAAUUUAAAAACCUUAAGUCCUCUGACAGUCACAUGAAGAAGAUGAAGGAAUCGAUCUAGUCAAGGCCCAUCUAACAAGAGGUGCCAUCGGAAUCCGUUGAUCUCAGCUAAAAAGACAUCCCCAGACAUUCCCAGUCGUGUUUGGUUUAGUCCUCGUAACUCCACGAUUUAAGGGGGUAUCCCCCGUGUAAAAACAGCCCAAAGAUAUGCAUUCCAGUUUUUGUUGCUUGGUGUAGACUCUGCCAGUUGCGAUAUUAUUUGUGUGCAAACAAGAAUACUUUUAAUUUGUGUAAUGCCAUUAUGUUUAGCGCUUAUGAUAAAUGAAUCUCAUAGUUUAGUUUAGCGGAGGAAGUACGGCCACCUCUCCCUUAAUUUAUAUAUUUGUGGGGAUAUAUUGCAACGAUUUCUGUGUAUGAUUUUGUCCUGCAUUUCUGUAUUGCUUAAUUCUGUGUAAUUUUUGUAAUUCUUAGAGCACAGUUUAUCUAUCAUUUCGAUGGGCAGAGAACUGGAGAUGCUUAGCGAUAGCAUUAACGAAACACAAAGGAUACCUUUACCAAUCAUUAACAAGUAUAUAAAUAUACCAUUCUAUAUAUUAUUAUGAUUAAAAUAAUGACGACGUCGAUGGCGAGAAAGAGGAAACUAUUUAAUUUAUUUUAUUAACAUAUUUAUAUCGAUUAAUUAAUUAAUAAUAUUUAUCACAUUUCAAAUGAUAUUUCAAAAUGGAAAACACUAAAAAAACGGAAUACAAGCAAAUGAGAAAAAGAUAUUAAUAUUAUAAAUGUAUUUAAAAAUAAAAAAAAAAAAAAAAAAAAA